ensembl:lncRNA
UUUUUUUUGUUUUGUUUUGUUUUUGGGGUUUUUGGGGGGUUUUGUUUGUUUGUUUACUUGUUUUUUAAAUUUGAUUGUUCUUAAGGCAAAUGGGUUUUGUCUUAAGGAUGGGUUUUAAAAUUCUUGAAGAUUUAUUCCUGAAAAAACCCCAAAAAAUCAGAUGUGCAGUCAGUCCUCAGUGUGUGGGGUGGUGAGUACCCCAGAGAACUGACAGAAUUGUGGCUGGAACAUUCCACCAAGAUCAGCUAUGCACAGUGCUGAGUGUCUUCUCCUUUGGAAAACAAAGCAGGAAAGGUAGAUGUGUAUAAAAAUGAAACAAAAAAUUAAAUAAAUACUGUCAGAUUGCAAGCUUCACGAGAUAAAGUUUCAACUUCUAGUCUGGGAUGAAAAUUUAUCCCCUUUCAAAAUAAGGCUUUGCCAAAAAAUAUUUUCUUCCCCAUUACUGUAGCUAAAGACUGUGGGAAAACCCAAGGGCUGUUGCUGCUCAGCUCAAGGACAAGGACUGGCUCUGACACCGCAGACCAGGGCAGAUUGUCACUUGGGGGUCCCUGAGCCCAGAGGGGCUGUGCUGCUCCCCCAGCUCGGGCUGCAGCCCAGCACAGUGUGUCCUGUGUGCCUGCACAUCCCCCUGAGCACAGCUCCCAGGGAUUCCCGACACUGCAGUGUCCCAGGAGCUGGGAAAUGAUCAAGGAUCUCUUGUAGCACCUAGAGGGAGAGCAGCUCUGAAGAACAGCACCCUCCACGCCAGCCGUGCAGCAGAGCGCUAAUUAUUCCUGCCUUCGUCACCCUCGCUGCCAUCACAGGGGACAGCUGGCAUUUCUUCAGCUCCUCGUGCUCCUGCUAAUAAUGAAGAGUGCCUCAGCAUGCUGCACGUUAGGAGAUUUAAUGUGCUGGCUGAAUAUUGUAUUGAGUUCCUGAUUUGUGUCAGCAAGGCCUACUAAUUCAUGAGAAGUGUCACUGGUGCUUAUUUCCCCUUCAUUUGGACACAGGUAAAUUACUCUGGAGAGAGCCUGGCUGCAGCCAUCAGUACUUACUGCAGAUCUUGGCUGACUUGAAAGGUUGCUAAGGGAUCUACUGAAGAACAGACAGACCUCAGAGUGCAGCAGCCUGGUCAAAUACACCUUCUAGGAUUCCUGGUGGUGUCCUCGAGGAAAGCUCAUGAAUCUUAUUCUUGCUGCUCCUGCUUGCAGAGAAAUCUUCUGAGAGUCUAUCCCUGCCAGCCUGUGCUUCUCACUCCUGUGGUCUCUGCACAGAUUCCUGCUUCUCCAGCAUCCCUGGACCUCCCAGCAGCUUUGCUGAUCCUGUGCUGCUGCUGGGAGAAAUCUCAAAUGGCUUUUGCAGCCCCCCUCACCUCUCCUGUUGAUAUUGUAAGCAAACCCCACAUUCCUCGCCUAAAAAUCACUCACAGAAUAUGGAGAAACCCCGCUGAUCUAAAAUACUGUGCUCCUAUUCAUCACAAAAAAGGAAAACUACUGAAACCCCAUGUGAAGUGGUGCAGUUGGGUUCCCUCCUGCCCUGGGGGAUGGAGUGACCCCUGUGCUCUGUGCUGCAGCCGUGAUGGGCACUGGGGGUCAGACAGAGGGGAGGGAAUGCUCCUGUGGCUCCCUGCUGGAGUCUCCAAGGCUGC